rnacentral:rRNA from 1 species
ACGCUAGCUAUAGGCUUAACACAUGCAAGUCGAGGGGAAACGGCAUUAUGUGCUUGCACAUUUUGGACGUCGACCGGCGCACGGGUGAGUAUCGCGUAUCCAACCUGCCCUUUACUUGGGGAUACCCCGUUGAAAGACGGCCUAAUACCCGAUGUAAUUCAUUGAUGGCAUCAGAUAUGAAUAAAAGAUUUAUCGGUAAAGGAUGGGGAUGCGUCUGAUUAGCUUGUUGGUGAGGUAACGGCUCACCAAGGCUACGAUCAGUAGGGGUUCUGAGAGGAAGGUCCCCCACAUUGGAACUGAGACACGGUCCAAACUCCUACGGGAGGCAGCAGUGAGGAAUAUUGGUCAAUGGGCGCAAGCCUGAACCAGCCAAGUAGCGUGCAGGAAGACGGCCCUAUGGGUUGUAAACUGCUUUUAUACGAGAAUAAUUUGAUGCACGUGUGCGUUAUUGCAUGUAUCGUAUGAAUAAGGACCGGCUAAUUCCGUGCCAGCAGCCGCGGUAAUACGGAAGGUCCAGGCGUUAUCCGGAUUUAUUGGGUUUAAAGGGAGUGUAGGCGGUUUGUUAAGCGUGUUGUGAAAUUUAGAUGCUCAACAUUUAACUUGCAGCGCGAACUGUCAGACUUGAGUACACACAACGUAUGCGGAAUUCAUGGUGUAGCGGUGAAAUGCUUAGAUAUCAUGAAGAACUCCGAUUGCGAAGGCAGCAUACGGGAGUGUAACUGACGCUUAAGCUCGAAGGUGCGGGUAUCGAACAGGAUUAGAUACCCUGGUAGUCCGCACAGUAAACGAUGGAUGCCCGCUGUUAGCGCCUGGCGUUAGCGGCUAAGCGAAAGCAUUAAGCAUCCCACCCUGGGGAGUACGCCGGCAACGGUGAAACUCAAAGGAAUUGACGGGGGCCCGCACAAGCG